UACGGGGGGUGCAAGCGUUGUUCGGAAUCAUUGGGCGUAAAGAGCGUGUAGGCGGUUGGACAAGUCAGAUGUGAAAGCCCUGGGCUUAACUCAGGAAGUGCAUUUGAAACUGUUCAGCUGGAGUAAGGGAGAGGAAAGUGGAAUUCCUGGUGUAGAGGUGAAAUUCGUAGAUAUCAGGAGGAACACCGGUGGCGAAGGCGACUUUCUGGCCUGUUACUGACGCUGAGGCGCGAAAGCGUGGGGAUCAAACAGGAUUAGAUACCCCCGUAGUCC
rnacentral:rRNA from 1 species